GGUGCAUGGUUGUCGUCAGCUCGUGUCGUGAGAUGUUGGGUUAAGUCCGCAACGAGCGCAACCCCUAUUGUUAGUUUGCCAUCAUUCAGUUGGGCACUCUAGCGAGACUGCCGGUAAUAAACCGGAGGAAGGUGGGGAUGACGUCAAAUCAUCAUGCCCCUUAUGACCUGGGCUACACACGUGCUACAAUGGGCGGUACAAAGGGUCGCGAACCCGCGAGGGGGAGCCAAUCCCAAAAAGCCGCUCUCAGUUCGGAUUGCAGGCUGCAACUCGCCUGCAUGAAGCCGGAAUCGCUAGUAAUCGCGGAUCAGCAUGCCGCGGUGAAUACGUUCCCGGGCCUU
rnacentral:rRNA from 1 species